GCGCACGUGAAUCAGCGCCGACAGGUGGGCCCUCAGAUGCCUCCCUUGUCCGUGAAUCCCCUCCCCUCCCUGUUCUCCUUGCCUUGCUGAUGGCUGCGCCCGCCCGCGCCUCUCACCCCGCCGCCGGCCACUCCCGCCUCACUACUGGCCCGCGCGCCUGCGAUACCUGAACCUAAUAAUCACAAAGAGCUCGGCGCGCGGAUCCAGCGGAGGGGACCGUGUGCCCACGCCGCGAUGCCGAUCAGCGCGGCCGUCGUCCGACUCUUCGUCCUCGUCGGGCUUGGGUGCCCGCUUGUGGGUACUCCACGGGCUAGCGCUCGGCGCGGCGGCCGCGGCCGCUGGCGUGGCAUACCUGUACCGGCGGCCGUGCGGGUUCCGCAGCCGCGCGGUAGGGAUCAUACCCGCGCAUCGGUGGAUGGGUGCUCAUGAAAGCCAUCUCUUUGCUGAAUGACUGGAUGAAGAAGAUACGCCGUGAUGAAUGGAUGAAAAGGCUGCGCAUACUGGCAGUGAGGGCCAGCUUACAUGGAAUUUGGGUCAAUAAGGAAGCCUAAUCCGUAACAACGCAGAAGACCCUCAUAGAGGUCCUGCGUUUCCAUUCUUCAUGCGCUUGGAGCCUCCUGCAUAGACCAGUGGUAGAGCAAUUGACUGCAUAGACCAGAUGAGGGUCAGAAUGUUCGUCUUAACGGUGUUUGAUGCAACGUAGUGGGUGACCCUUGAGUUGUUAUAUUUUGUGAUGGCAUAGCUUUCUACAGGUUAAGUUAUUACUUCUAAGCUUUGCUAAGCCAUCUAGAUAUCCUUUGGACAUCGAACUGCUGCAGCUGGUUAAUAAUUAAACCAUCCAUUCCUUCUGAUAUCUUUGGAACCUUCUCCAAAUUUUACAUGGAAGUGCAGAUAUAUUUGGAUCCGUAUAAACUGUUGUUCAGCAAUAGCUUUCAUGUAAUCUGGGAUCAGUUACUUCCAAUUUUAUGAAUUUGUUAAACUUCUAUGUGAACCUGGAUGCAUUAAUUUAAUUUCAGUCUUAGUUUCAUUUGUA